rnacentral:lncRNA from 1 species
UGAAAACAGGUGGCCAGGACAGGUUUCAACAGCAGUGAGUACAAGCCCAAGAAGAUUCAUGGGUCCUUCUCUCCCGGCAGUAGAAGCUGUUUUAUAUGAAGUUGAUAUCUUCCAUCAUCCAUGCCUUCAUUAAGCUGGGCUUCUUGUCAAGAAGAUCCUGACAACUGUGAAAACACUGUUUUCGUGACUUUGUGUCAAUUCAAGAAGAGGUAGGUUAAUUCUGUUUUCUAGUCCUUAGUAUUAUAAAUCAUCCGUAAU